rnacentral:snRNA from 1 species
GAAUGUGAGGGCAAUCUGACUGUGACAUCUGUCACCCCACUGAUCACGAGGGUUGAUUUGGCUGAUCUGGCUGGCUAGGCAGGUGUCCCCUUCCUCCCUCACUGCUCCACAAGCAUCCCUCCCAAAGCUGCACACUUAGUUGAAGAGGACAACCUUCACUUAUAGAGGAGAACCAGCCUUUAGUCAAGGCUACAUGAGUAGCUGCACUCCCCUGCUAGAACCUCCAAUCAAGCUCUCCAGGUCCAUCUGCAGGAAAACGUAGGGUAGUCAAGCUUCCAAGAUUGCAGAUACAUCCAAAUGUGGUGCCGCAUGUGGCAGUCUGCCUUUCUUU